UACGAAGGGGGCUAGCGUUGUUCGGAUUUACUGGGCGUAAAGCGCACGUAGGCGGAUCGUUAAGUCAGGGGUGAAAUCCUGGAGCUCAACUCCAGAACUGCCUUUGAUACUGGCGAUCUUGAGUCCGGAAGAGGUGAGUGGAACUCCUAGUGUAGAGGUGGAAUUCGUAGAUAUUCGCAAGAACACCAGUGGCGAAGGCGGCUUACUGGUCCGGUUCUGACGCUGAGGCGCGAAAGCGUGGGGAGCAAACAGG
rnacentral:rRNA from 1 species